rnacentral:miRNA from 1 species
CCCAGGGGCGCUUUGCCCCUGAGCCACAUCCCCAGCCUUUUAUUUAUAUAUAUAUAUAUAUAUAUAUAUAUAUAUAUAUAUAUAAAUAAAAGGCUGGGGAUGUGGCUCAGGGGCAAAGCGCCCCUGGG